ensembl:lncRNA
CCAGAGUGGGGGCCUUGGGACCACCACCUGGAUUUCCCUGGAAGGCCCCCACCCCCUCCACCACAGGAAAAUCAUGAAUAGUUUAAUUCCUCUGAUUCUCCAAGCUGCUACCAUGUCUUUACCUCUUCUUACUCCUCUUUAAUUGCGUGGUCAUCGUCUCUCUCGUGCUUAGCGUGCACCGAGAAAUAAACACGACAGGUACGACGACCCCCCCGCGUCUCCUCUGUGUCGUGCACGUUUUACGAAAGCUGCAGGACUUGGAGAGGGGGGGGGGGGGUGCGCACGCGCGCGCAGCGGGAGGAGUGUGGAGUGGACGCGGCGGCGAGUGCAGCCGAGCGAAGCCGAAGAACUCCGCUGACCGACCGGCACGGACGCAGAGGGAAGCGUGACUUGUGGAGGAAGAGACGUAAAAGGAAGAAGAAGAAAAAAAAAAGAAAAAACUCCCCAACCUUCCACGGCUCAGUUCGACACUUGGAGCGAGAGGCUCACGUGAGAGCCGGUUCGCGGCGCGAGGAACGGCAGCGGCCGCGACAGACCCGGAUAGACCCCGGUCUCCACCAGGACCUCGUGUUCGUCUGGACUCGUAUCCCCCGACACACACACACACACACGCGCACCAUACCAGCACCUCUUCAUUUACUUGGCGCUAACUCGCGCGUUCUGCGGCGGCUCAGUGGCGCGCGGUGGAUUUGUUUCGCGUGCUCGCCAGCUGGAGACGGGAGGAGGAAGCGCGCGGGUCUCGGAGCCGGAGAGAAAUGCCCACGGCGGCGACGAAGAGGAGCUUCAGUGUUAGUCUUUGAUCCUGUCAGAGUGGGACGCGUCUAGCAGGGGACUGAGGAGGGAGCAGUGCCGACUCGGAAACAUGGGGCCCAGCCGUCACCUGGCAGUGCCCCUCCUGCCCAGAGAGGCGUUGCCGCUCCUGCUGCUGCUCUGCUGCAUGGUGUUCUCCUCCAAGGCAGAGAGUAAGUAACCUGCGAAGAGCUGCCUUACACUGCGCGCUUUACCACUAAUUGGACAGUGCGAGUGUUAAAACCCCUUAUUUGCAACGCGCGGGGGUGAACGAUCCAACACAAUGGGAUGGUAAAAAGCGCUUUCUUUUAGACCACUUUCAGGUUUAUUAGAUUCACUGGUGAUCAGGUGAACAAGUGCUGCCCUUUUUAUACGCGUUCUCCACACACAGAACGAUGGUCACUACGUGGUUAAACUACAUUAAUUGAAUGUAGGGACGUUCGCAGUGAACGCGACUUUCAUGCCGGGCAGUGAAAUUAAAAUAGAAAGAUUUCACACAGCAGUAAAUAGCAGCGCGGCUUCCGCGUGUCUCAAUGCAUAGAGAGGUUUAGCAUUUGGGCUAAAAAUAAAGCGUGCAGAGCGAUCCUGCGUCAGCCUCUGAGUCUGUCACCCUGAGUGGCGGCUCGGGCUCAGUAAGACGCGCGACUGUU